GGAACCAAGCAAUAAAGCAAAAAGAGCAUCUAAAAUACGUUUUGCCCUUGCUGGUUUCUUUCUCCUUUAAUCGUUUCUUCUUAAAUUUUCUAUUAGACUUUUCCUUCCCUAUUCUCGAGAAAAUGGCAGAAACUAGUACCAGCUCAAUGGCUCAAUGAGUCUUCAAACAUGAGGACCUCGAUAUGGACAGACGAUCCAAACGCGCCAUCAACUUCAAGCUUGCAAUCACCCUUUCCUUCUCAAGCUGCUCCAAACAUCUCCAAUUCCCGUGUGACGUGCGCUGUUGAUCCCGAGCUCAAUGUGUUUAAACUAUUGUCACAAAGAGAGGUUUGUCCUCAAACAAAGCGUUUGUCUAAAAGACGAUGGAAAGAAGCUUCAAAGCAGUGUUCUAGUUCGUUGGCAUCAAGAUUUGAGAAGAAGCAAGAUGCAAGACGAGGUCUUAUCUCAUGGGUAGAGUCAGAAUCAUUGCAGCGCUUAUCAGCAAAUUAUUGUGCAUUGUUGCCUCCCCCAAGGUCAACUAUUGCAGCGGCAUUCAGCCCUGAUGGAAAGACUCUGGCUUCUACACAUGGGGACCAUACAGUAAAGAUUAUUGAUUGCCAAACUGGAAGAUGCUUAAGAGUGUUGCGUGGUCACCGGAGGACACCCUGGGUGGUUCGGUUUCAUCCAAUAAAUCCUGCAAUACUUGCAAGUGGAAGUUUGGAUCAUGAAGUCCGGUUGUGGGAUGCAAAUACUGCAGAGUGUAUAGGAUCACGUGACUUUUACCGUCCUAUUGCUUCUAUAGCUUUUCAUGCCCAUGGGGAGCAUCUUGCUGUAGCGUCUGGUCACAAGCUAUAUAUAUGGCACUAUAACAGAAGAGGGGAGACAUCUUCACCAAAAGUUGUGCUGAAGACACGCCGUUCACUGCGGGCUGUGCACUUUCACCCUCAUGGUGCUCCAUUUCUGUUAACGGCUGAGGUAAAUGACCUAGACCCAUCAGACUCGCCAAUGACGCUGGCAACCUGUCCAGGUUAUUUGUGCUAUCCUCCACCUGCUGUAUAUAUGGCUGAUGCUUGUUUUAGUGGUCGUCCUACCUUGGCCGAUGAACCACCUCUCAUGACUUUACCCUUCUUGCUUUGGCCUUCAUUUGCUAGAGACUAUGAGAGAAUAUCUUUGCAACAUACUGAUGGAGAUGUUGGUGCAAGUCGUACACAAGAGAGAGUGGAUUCUUCUACUUCAGUGCGCCUUUUGACUUUUUCAACUCCUUCAGGGCAGUAUGAACUUGUGUUGUCUCCUAUUGAACCUAAUAACUCAUCUUCCAUUCCAGAAGAAGCAGUGACAGAUACUUUGGUGAAUGAAAUGGUUAAUGCAGUUCCUGAAACUGCUGUGGAUACUGUGGAAAUGCAGCCUGAAGGAAGAAGUAAUCAUAUGUUCCCUUUGGGUGAUCCAACAUAUUGGGAGCUUCCUUUAUUGCAAAGUUGGUUAUUUGGACACAGCCAAGCAGCACAGCACAUAACUGGACCACUUAAUGGUUCUGCUCAUGAUAACUUUGCAGCAUCUGGUGACAUGGAAAAUCUACCAACUUCCUCAGUAAUAUCAAACGAUGCUGGUCAAACCAGGGUCAGUGUAAGAUCUGGUUCAGGACAUCAAUCUUCACGUUCCUGCAUAACAUCUGGAACUGGAACUGGAUCUGUAUCUGGAUCUGGUGAAAGGACUGCUUCUGUUAACAUCCCUCAUAGUGAAAGUGGUGCACAACCUGUUGUUAGCAGAUUUCAAUCUGACUUCUCCACAUCCCUGGCUUCAGCUGCUGCAGCUGAAUUGCCUUGCACUGUGAAGCUAAGAAUCUGGCCACAUGAUAUAAAAGAUCCGUGUGCUCAUCUUGAAGGCGAACGCUGUUGCUUGACUAUACCACAUGCUGUACUUUGUAGCGAAAUGGGUGCUCAUUUUUCGCCCUGUGGAAGAUAUUUAGCAGCCUGUGUUGCAUGUGUGUUGCCUCAUUUAGAAGCUGAUCCUGGAUUACAAAGUCAAGUACACCAUGGUGUCUCAGGGACUGGAACCUCCCCAACUCGACACCCAAUUUCAGCUCACCAAGUUUUGUAUGAGCUUCGGAUAUAUUCCCUGGAGGAGGCAACAUUUGGUUUGGUGCUUGCAUCUCGGGCAAUUAGAGCUGCUCAUUGUUUAACUUCAAUUCAGUUCUCACCCACAUCAGAGCACUUAUUGCUUGCCUACGGCCGUCGGCAUAGUUCACUUCUAAAAAGUGUUGUCAUUGAUGGAGAGGCAACAAUUCCCAUUUACACGAUUCUAGAGGUCUAUAGAAUUUCUGAUAUGAAACUUGUGAGAGUUCUACCAAGUGCUGAGGAUGAGGUUAAUGUGGCAUGCUUUCACCCUUCAGUUGGGGGUGGCCUUGUAUAUGGAACUAAGGAAGGGAAGCUUAGGAUUCUACAAUGUGAUGGUUCUUAUGGCAUGAAUUACACAGUGUCCUCUCUUUUUGAUGAGAACACACUUCAGGGUCUGUAGUUGAAGUUGUGGAGUAUUUUACAUACCUGACCCUAUGAAUGUGCUGAAAACAUGGAAAGCAGGUCCCCACAUAUGCUUUAGAAUGCUAAUAAAGUGAUCAGUUCCCAUGUAUGAGAUCUGUCACUCAUGGUUAAGAUAAUGAAUAUCAGAAAGUGGUGUUUAUUAUGAUUUAAAUGUUGGUGAGGUGAGAUGAAGGAAGCCAUAUAUAUAUUUUUAAAGGAUAAUCAUGGAAAGGCUUGAUUCAAUGUCUUGAAAUGCUUAACAAAUGUUUGAUACAGUAGAUGGUCGAUUUGUAUUUCUAAUUUAAAAUUUAUGUACAGCAUGAUCUGACACAUAAAUAGGUCAGUAAAAUAUGUAAUUGCAUUUUAAAUCUUUUGAUCCCUGAAAGACUGCCUGAAUUUUGCUUGAGCAGCCUUGAUCCCUGAAUUCUAAUUGAAUCAGAAUACUUUCUUUUGUAA